UACGGGGGGUGCGAGCGUUGUCCGGAAUCAUUGGGCGUAAAGCGCGCGUAGGCGGCCCUGUAAGUCCGUUGUGAAAGUCAAAGGCUCAACCUUUGAAAGCCGAUGGAUACUGCAGGGCUAGAGUCCGGAAGAGGCGAGUGGAAUUCCUGGUGUAGCGGUGGAAUGCGCAGAUAUCAGGAGGAACACCGAUGGCGAAGGCAGCCCCCUGGGCUGACACUGACGCUCAGGCACGAAAGCGUGGGGAGCAAACAGG
rnacentral:rRNA from 1 species